AGGGGAUUUACAGCUGCGAGCGCAGCGAUGACGAGGAGACGCACGUGACCAACACUCCUCUGAAGAUAGAGAGAGGGAGUCCGUCUCAUGCUACAGGCGUCGCUGUAGGUGUGUUGGUGGCGUUGGUCGUGUUGGUGACGUUGGUCGUGGUCGGCUUUGUGUUUUACAGGAAAUUUAAAAAGUCACAAAGAGGACCUCACAAGACAUCCGAAGAUGAAGCUAAUGCAGCGGUCUGACACUGCACUUCCUCCUGACGUUUAUCAGUCCACUGCUGCGGAAACAUCAAGAUCACACUGAGCUCGCUGAAGUGUGUUUGUUUCAUCAAAGUGAGAAAACCUCCCGUCCGGACAUUCACUAACAGACAAUCAGUCAAAUAUGCGCAAAAAUGUGCACGUUGCCACUAAACCUUAUAGUAGCUGCUAGUUCAGAGAAAGCUACAACAAGGCUAAACUCAUGACGCCAGUGAUGUUUUUCAAAACAACUUGGCACGUCGGGGCUUCAGGGCACUUGGA